GACGAACGCUGGCGGCGUGCUUAACACAUGCAAGUCGAACGGAAAGGCCCUGCUUUUGUGGGGUGCUCGAGUGGCGAACGGGUGAGUAACACGUGAGUAACCUGCCCUUGACUUUGGGAUAACUUCAGGAAACUGGUGCUAAUACCGGAUAGGAGCUCCUGCUGCAUGGUGGGGGUUGGAAAGUUUCGGCGGUUGGGGAUGGACUCGCGGCUUAUCAGCUUGUUGGUGGGGUAGUGGCUUACCAAGGCUUUGGCGGGUAGCCGGCCUGAGAGGGUGACCGGCCACAUUGGGACUGAGAUACGGCCCAGACUCCUACGGGAGGCAGCAGUGGGGAAUAUUGCACAAUGGGCGGAAGCCUGAUGCAGCAACGCCGCGUGCGGGAUGACGGCCUUCGGGUUGUAAACCGCUUUCGCCUGUGACGAAGCGUGAGUGACGGUAAUGGGUAAAGAAGCACCGGCUAACUACGUG
rnacentral:rRNA from 1 species